rnacentral:rRNA from 1 species
AACGAACGCUGGCGGCAUGCCUAACACAUGCAAGUCGAACGAGACCUUCGGGUCUAGUGGCGCACGGGUGCGUAACGCGUGGGAACCUGCCCUUAGGUUCGGAAUACCUCCCCGAAAGGGGUGCUAAUACCGGAUAAUGUCUUCGGACCAAAGAUUUAUCGCCUUUGGAUGGGCCCGCGUUGGAUUAGCUCGUUGGUAGGGUAAAAGCCUACCAAGGCGACGAUCCAUAGCUGGUCUGAGAGGAUGAUCAGCCACACUGGGACUGAGACACGGCCCAGACUCCUACGGGAGGCAGCAGUGGGGAAUAUUGGACAAUGGGCGAAAGCCUGAUCCAGCAAUGCCGCGUGAGUGAUGAAGGCCUUAGGGUUGUAAAGCUCUUUUACCCGGGAUGAUAAUGACAGUACCGGGAGAAUAAGCUCCGGCUAACUCCGUG